rnacentral:rRNA from 1 species
UUUUUAUCAAUGGCCGCGGUACUUUGACCGUGCUAAGGUAGCGCAAUCAAUUGGCUUUUAAUUGGAGCCAGGUAUGAAUGGAGUCACGGGGUUUAGCUGUCUCAAAAUUAAUAUAUUGAAGUUACUAUAUAGGUGAAAAAGCCUAUAAAAAGAAAAAGGACGAGAAGACCCUUAGAGUUUUACUAAGAUUAGGAUUAUUCCUGAACCAGUUUAGUUGGGGCAACAUAGGAGCAAAAUUAAUCUCCUGAAUAAUACUAACCGAUUUUUAUAAACUUGAAUAAACUACCUUAGGGAUAACAGCAUAAUUUUAUUAAUAAGUUUGUGACCUCGAUGUUGGACUAGGAAACUAAAAGGCUAGCCGCCUUUUAGGUGAGUUCUGUUCGAACUAUUAUUCCU